rnacentral:lncRNA from 1 species
AUGUUAAAACACGUUUUUAAUAUGAUGGUCGGAGGAGUGGACGGUGAUGGCAUGGACGGUGAUGUUAGGUGGCUGAAAUUAUUGACGUUGGUUUUGUCAAAGAUUGUGAGCUCACCAAACACAUUCUUCAUGCUUAUAAAAGGAGAGAUAUGGUGAACCAUUUCAUUCAUCCCAAAAUCAAAAAUCACAGAGAGAAGUGAGGAAGAAGAAGAACGUGAGAGAGAGAAAAAAAAAAAAAAAAAAAUUUCUUUUUUCUUACGGGUAUUUGGGAUCGGGUUGAGAGAAAAUUAUUUAGAGAGUUUGGGUAUUUUCUCCUAUUAUAACGAGAAAAUUAUUAAUCGAUUUCUCCGUUAUAAUUGAGAUGGUUGUAACUCCUAUUAUUUUUCUCGUAAUAAAUUCUUCUACCUUGUCCGUGGUUUUUACCCUUUGGGGUUUUCCACGUUAAAUCUGGUGUUCCAUUUAUUACACUAUUUCUCAAAUUAUUAGCUGCGACCCUGCUCUAUCCGAUCCAGUUUUACAACAAUAACCAGCUCCGGCUAAUAAAUUUGCUCUCCCGAA